GGAUGUGAGGGCGAUCUGGCUGAGAUAUCUGUUACCCCGUUGAUCACCAGGGUUGAUUCAGCUGACCUGGCUGGCUAGGUGGGUGUCCCCUUCCUCCCUCACUGCUCCAUGUGAGUCCCUCCCAAAGCUGUGCUCUUGGCUGAAGAGGAAGACUAUCCCUGAUAGAGAAGGACCAUUUCCUUGGUCGAGGGUAUAGGAGUAGCUCCAUUCCUCUGCUAGAAACUCCAAACAAGCUCUCAAGAUGGCCAGUAAAUAUAUAGAAAGGCGUUCAGCUUUAUAAACCAUCAGAUAAAUGCAUAUGAAAACCAAUACUGGGAUAGUACUAGAACCCACUGGAAUGAUUUUUUUAU
ensembl:misc_RNA 7SK 7SK RNA